UCGCAAAAGUUAGCGAUUUUGUUUUGCUAUAGUGAGGCCCGUCUCCUGAUUUACGUGCGCAUCAUCGGCAGGAUGAGGGCGAAUUUUUGUAUCUGCUGGAUUGCCUGUCAGGUUUGCAAUUUUCUGUGUCUUUGAUUAAUUUAGUAUUAUAUUUUUAUUAAUUUUCCUUUCUUUAUAGGUUGUCGGGAAGUCAUUGAGAAAACGGUAUUGCGGAGAUUUAUACAAUUUGGAGACGGAUUUUAAUUCAUUUUAAUAUGAAGUUAGUUCCGGGAUAGUGAUCCUUGUGAGUGCAGUGGCAUCAGGAGAUGGAGACGGCGUUGUAAGGUUGUCAGUUUUUUGUGUUUAUAAUCGCGAAAGGUGGCGAUUUUGUUUUUCUUUUGCGGAGCCGGUCUUCUCUUGAUGGUUGUGUUGGAUCACCAGUUGGCUCUGGUUAUUGAGGUUUUAGCGUCAACUAAUGUAGGCGCUCGUCGAUCUGGAAGAUUAUCAGAGUAGCAGGAAGGAUAGAUUUUGCUGCUCCGCGCAAGGUGCCCUGAUCGGAGCAUAGGCAGCUUAUAUGGCCCGUCAAUUGCAGCGCAGCACUGCAAGUAGAUUGUAUCGGUGAUAAGGGAUACUACCAGGGACUGUGUGGCGAAGAAAGUUCAGUUGGUUUUCUCCGCAUCGUUUCGUCAGGAUCAGCUGGAGUGCGUUGUCUUAGGAUUGCUCAUCCGGAUGCGUUGAGAUAAAUUAGGCUGCGUCGAGAAGGGUGGUGACAGUGGAGGAGGUUUAUAAGCAGACAGACGUGCGCUUUUCCAUCGGAUAAAGAUAUCGUUUAUUUAGAUGUAAGAGGAUAUAGAUUUAAUUUGAUGUGUCCAUGUCAAGAUUAUUGUUUCUUAUUUGUAAGAUUAAGGCCAUUAAAAUGUCAAUUUUCUUUUCUAA